CAAUUUGUUUAUCUAAAUUGUUGUGAGGAUAGUUAAUGAUUGUUGUUAUUGUUUUGAGGUGUUGUUGGAGUAUGUAUAUGGAGAUAAUUUAUGAAGUUCGAGCUAUAGUUGGUUAUCCGGAACGUCGAAUUAUUGGGAAUCGUUUAAAGGGUUCAUUGUUAGUGAUUUUGCAGGGUUGAUGUCGAGGACUUGGAAUAUGAUUAUUGAUCAAGAAGAAGAUUUUUAUGUUAUGAAAUGGUGGGUUGAGGUUAAAGUUAGAUGCUUUGUUUGGAAGUAUUCGUAAUCUGUUAUUUGAUUUUCAAGUUGUUAUGUUGUGGGCCCCUGACCCACAGAUCCAGGAUCGUUUUUAUAAGUAUUGUUUCCGCUGUGAAUAAAUGUAAAUUCGAGGUUUGUUAA